rnacentral:lncRNA from 1 species
CUUCGUCAUCUCUGCCAGUUUUGUGGUGGCGGGGGUACUUUGAGAGCCCGAUCACCUACCUCAUUGAGGUCUUCCGAUAUCUGUUCUUUUCUUUUUCUGAGAGAGUUAAUACUCACAGUAAUAGAGAUAAUCAUUGCUUUGUCAAAAGGUGGUGUUAUUCCAUUCAUUCAUGUUUUCAUAGUACAAGAAUUUCUUUUUACAAAUAUUCUAAGGGAAGUACCUCUUUAGGUACUGGAUAUUCCAGGCGUGAGGCUCAGGGUUUCCCUGCAUAUCUUCGAUUCGAUAUACCCCUGGCUUGACUACUUUUGCUAUUCUGAAUGGGCCCUUCCAAGUCGGUGCCAACUUGCCUACCACCGCUCUUUUUCCUGUAGCUUCUAGGUUUCUCAGGGCCAGGUCUCCUACCUUCAGGCUUUUUUCCCUGACCCUUUGAUUGUAAUAACGGGCAGCUCUUUGUUGAUAAGCGGCGGUUCGAAUUUGGGCUUCUUCCCUAACUUCCUCCAGGGCAUCAAGGUUACUUCUCAGCUUAUCACUAUUCGCAUUCUCAUCAUUGAACUGGACCCGAUGUGUAGGAACUUGUAGCUCGAUUGGGACUACGGCCUCGGUGCCAAAUGCAAGUGCAAAAGGCGUUUCUUUAGUGGACGACCUGGAGGUAGUUCGGAGUGCCCACAAGAUACUGUUGAGUUCUUCUGCCCAAUUUGCCUUUGCCCCAUCCAGCCAUUUUUUCAACCCCUGGAGGAUAGCUCUAUUGGUGACCUCUGUC